rnacentral:lncRNA from 1 species
UUGAUGUGGGUAUUUGAUUAUUUAGUUGAAUUGGAGAGAUUGUAGAGAAAUAUGAUGAUUUUGAGUUAUGGUUGAAUUGAAUGAUGAAGUUGAGGUAUAAAUCUGGAACUAACAGUAGGUGAUCUGUUGAAAUUCUGGGUUUGAGGUUGAAGAUGACGAAAAUUCAGUUUGGUCCCUCAAUUUAUGGAAAUUGCAGUUUAGUCCCCGAACUUUGGAAAUUUUACAGAUUGGUCCCUGGGGCAUAAAUUGAGG